rnacentral:rRNA from 1 species
GACGAACGCUGGCGGCGUGCUUAACACAUGCAAGUCGAACGGAAAGGCCCUGCCUUUGUGGGGUGCUCGAGUGGCGAACGGGUGAGUAACACGUGAGUAACCUGCCCUUGACUUUGGGAUAACUUCAGGAAACUGGGGCUAAUACCGGAUAGGAGCUCCUGCUGCAUGGUGGGGGUUGGAAAGUUUCGGCGGUUGGGGAUGGACUCGCGGCUUAUCAGCUUGUUGGUGGGGUAGGGGCUUACCAAGGGUUUGACGGGUAGCCGGCCUGAGAGGGUGACCGGCCACAUUGGGACUGAGAUACGGCCCAGACUCCUACGGGAGGCAGCAGUGGGGAAUAUUGCACAAUGGGCGGAAGCCUGAUGCAGAAACGCCGCGUGCGGGAUGACGGCCUUCCGGUUGUAAACCGCUUUCGCCUGUGACGAAGCGUGAGUGACGGUAAUGGGUAAAGAAGCACCGGCUAACUACGUG